ACUCAAAGAAUUGACGGGGCCCGCACAAGCGGAGGAACAUGUGGUUUAAUUCGAUGAUACGCGAGGAACCUUACCCGGGCUCGAACGCAGAGGAACAAUCCAGAGAUGGUGCGCCCUUCGGGGCUUCUGUCGAGGUGCUGCAUGGUUGUCGUCAGCUCGUGCCGUGAGGUGUCGGCUCAAGUGCCAUAACGAGCGCAACCCUUGCCGUCAGUUACCAUCAAGUAGCGUUGGGGACUCUGGCGGGACUGCCACCGCAAGGUGUGAGGAAGGGGGGGAUGACGUCAAAUCAGCACGGCCCUUACGUCCGGGGCGACACACGUGUUACAAUGGCGGCCACAGAGGGCACUACCUGGCGACAGGAUGGAAUCUCGAAAAGCCGUCUCAGUCCGGAUCGGAGUCUGCAACCCGACUCCGUGAAGCUGGAUUCGCUAGUAAUCGCGCAUCAGCCAUGGCGCGGUGAAUACGUUCCCGGGCCUUGUACACACCGCCCGUCAAGCCAUGGGAGCCGUGGGCGCCUGAAGUCGGGGUUCAAGCCCUGCCUAGGGCGAAUUCGGUGACUGGGGCU
rnacentral:rRNA from 1 species